ACCACAACUGGUCCAGAUACCUUACGAACAUAACCAUACUCGCUCUCCUUCUCGGAAUCUUCGAAGGUAGUCAAUCGUGCACCGUACACUGACGGCAUUUUCUUAGAGACAGUUAGAUAUCGCGGUAAGUGAUAACUGAAAUUCGAUCCGACAAGCGGGAUCGAUUAAAACCCUAGGUUUUCAGUUCAAACAAGCAAUUCGCAGGUGCUGGCAACGAGAGAGAAAGAAGACGAGGCAGAGGGGUGAGUCCGAUUUAUGAGCAUGAAAUGGGAAGGAAGACACAAUUAUGUACCAGUGGAGGAACACACCCGGGUCUG
rnacentral:misc_RNA from 1 species